rnacentral:RNase_P_RNA from 1 species
UGAGCUCGCUGGGCAAUCGCCGCUUUGCUGGCCCUCCGGGGUGGCCAAGGGGAGGAAAGUCCGGGCUCCAUAGGGCAAGGUGCCAGGUAACGCCUGGGCGGCGCGAGCCGACGGAAAGUGCAGCAGAAAGGAUACCGCCCGGUCACUGCGGUGAUUGGGUAAGGGUGAAAUGGUGCGGUAAGAGCGCACCGCGUGGCUGGCAACAGUCCACGGCGAUGGCAAACCCCACCUGGAGCAAGACCAAAUAGGAGUCCGACGGUGCGGCCCGCACUGGACUCGGGUAGGUCGCUUGAGGCCUGUGGUAACGCAGGUCCUAGAUGAAUGGUUGCCCCCGACAGAACCCGGCUUACAGGCGAGCUCAUUCU